UGACUCUCGACAACGGAUAUCCCGGCUCUCGCAUCGAUGAAGAACGUAGCGAAAUGCGAUACUUGGUGUGAAUUGCAGAAUCCCGUGAACCAUCGAGUCUUUGAACGCAAGUUGCGCCCGAAGCCAUCAGGCCGAGGGCACGUCUGCCUGGGUGUCACGC
rnacentral:rRNA from 1 species